UACGUAGGGUCCAAGCGUUAUCCGGAAUCACUGGGCGUAAAGCGUGCGUAGGUGGCGUGUUAAGUGUGAUGUUAAAUCGUGUGGCUCAACCAUAUCGAUGUGUCGCAUACUGGCAUGCUAGAGGACAGCAGAGGCAAGUGGAAUUUGUAGUGUAGCAGUGAAAUGCGUAGAUAUUACAAGGAACACCAAUGGCGAAGGCAGCUUGCUGGGCUACUCCUGACACUGAGGUACGAAAGCGUGGGGAGCGAACGGG
rnacentral:rRNA from 1 species